UAACAACACAAUCAACAAAACCAGCGUAUAGUCCCUUCGAACACCAGGAAUUGUCAACAGGGAGAAUACUUCCCACAGAGGGUUCGGGAUGUCGCAUUAGCAUAUCAGAAGCAAAGAGCUGCCUUCUCCGAGGAUGGAAUGUGUGACCUUGGCUCUGAGUCCCAUUGGCGGGCAACAAGAAGCUACCCUCGAGGUGGGGGAGAUGCCGAUGUGUGUCAUGCGGCAGAAAAAUAGUUGGUAACACUGCUGUCCGCAUCACUGGGAAGGCGGAUGACGUAAUCAAGGAGCUGGUGGCUGACGGUGAAGAGGCCGGGAAACACAGUGUUCGCAGCGUGUUUUGGUUGCUACUGCAGGAAAGAAGUGAGCCCAGGAAAGAAGGGACUCCCUGCUUCAGCUCCUUGGGACCACAUGGGACUCAGAACACAGGAUUCUGAGCCUCUGCUCAUGUAGUGGGCUCUUCCUGGACCGCCCUUCUUCUCCACGACCAUGGAUCUCACUGCCACUCACGCUCCAAAGCUGAGCUCAUGCCUCUCCUCUGAGAUGCCUUCCCGGGCAGACUCCUGCCAUCGAAUGACCACCGCCUCGUGAGAGCCGCUACAAGUCUGUGCGCUGUGGUGCAAGCUCUGCUCUGCCCGGUGGGACCACCCCCUGGGUUAACAUCUGCCUCCUCUCCCACAGCCGACAGCCACCCCAGCUUAGAGCCCCCAGGGGCCAUGCUGGUCUUAUCAUCAGUGUGUCCCACACCUCACCAGUGCUGGGCAUUGUUGUAGAUACAAGGCAAAGGUUUGAGGAAUGAAUGAAUGAAUGAAUGAA